GAUGAACGCUGGCGGCGUGCCUAAUACAUGCAAGUCGAGCGAACAGACGAGGAGCUUGCUCCUCUGACGUUAGCGGCGGACGGGUGAGUAACACGUGGAUAACCUACCUAUAAGACUGGGAUAACUUCGGGAAACCGGAGCUAAUACCGGAUAAUAUAUUGAACCGCAUGGUUCAAUAGUGAAAGACGGUUUUGCUGUCACUUAUAGCUGGAUCCGCGCCGCAUUAGCUAGUUGGUAAGGUAACGGCUUACCAAGGCAACGAUGCGUAGCCGACCUGAGAGGGUGAUCGGCCACACUGGAACUGAGACACGGUCCAGACUCCUACGGGAGGCAGCAGUAGGGAAUCUUCCGCAAUGGGCGAAAGCAUGACGGAGCAACGCCGCGUGAGUGAUGAAGGUCUUCGGAUCGUAAAACUCUGUUAUUAGGGAAGAACAAAUGUGUAAGUAACUAUGCACGUCUUGACGGUACCUAAUCAGAAAGCCACGGCUAACUACGUG
rnacentral:rRNA from 1 species